ensembl:lncRNA
GACUCCUCACGUCUACCCCGGGCCAAGGAGACAGAAGCUCCUCUGGGGACUAAUGUACACAUGUUGUGACCCAGAGAGAGGUUCUCCUCUACAGAGCUGACCCAGAGAGAGGUUCUCCUCUACAGAGCUGACCCAGAGAGAGGUUCUCCUCUACAGAGCUGACCCAGAGAGAGGUUCUCCUCUACAGAGCUGACCCAGAGAGGGGAGGUUCUCCUCUACAGAGCUGACUCAGAGAGAGGUUCUCCUUCUCCUCUGCUACAGAGCGUCCUGUGGCCCAAACAAAAUGUCCCUAAUCUCAGCACACGGUGAUAAUGACCACGGCCACAACACAGUGAGUUCAGUCCUUAUCUUCUGAGCUGCGUGUGUGUGUGUGUGUGUGUGUGUGUGUGUGUGUGUGUGUGUGUGUGUGUGUGUGUGUGUGUGUGUGUGUGUGUGUGUGUGUGUGCGUUUGUGUGUGUGUGCGUGUGUGUGCAUGUUUGUUUGUGUGUGUGUGUGUGUGUGUGUGUGUGUGUGUGUGUGUGUGUGUGUGUGUGUGUGUGUGUGUGUGUGUGUGUGUGUGUGUGUGUGUGUGUGUGUGUGUGUGUGUGUGUGUGUGUGUGUGUGUGUGUGUGUGUGCGUGCGUGUUUGUGUGUGUGCGUGUGCCAGCACAGGUCAAACACAAUGUAAAUGUAGCGGCCAAAUACACUCAGUGUCAGUUCCUGAACACGAUGGGACGGGCGGGAGAGGGAAAACAUCCCCCCCCCCCCAACCCCCUCCCUGCCUGCAGAGAUUACAGAUGAGGAAGAAACAGGGAAGGUUUCCGGUCCACGAGGGGAGGGUUGGUAGUACGACCGCUCCCCACACUGCAGUCCAGAGAUAACACACGUUCUCUGUACCCCUGGGACCACCCCCCCCACAGCCCAAUGGCACCAGGCCUGGGGGAGGAAGAGGAAACGCAGAUGAUGAUGAUGACGAUGAGGGGCCCGGGCCGGCGGGUUACCAUGGCAGGCAGGAAGACUUCCUCUUCCUCUACUUCCUGAUUCGCAGCCUCGUUUGCUUUGCAAAGUGUAUGCGUGGUAGUGUGUUUGUACACCCCUUCUGCGUUCAGCGGGUGGUCCCGGCGGAAUGAGACGAGGUGGCUCUCUGAGCGCCGGGGGGAAGCUUUGGAAGACGCUGCUGCCUCUCAAUCUGCGUCAGAAUGCUCCCAUCGUCCCCCCCACUUCCCCAGCAGCAGCAGCCUCUGUUCUGUCUGUCCCCCAUCCCCUCUGCUCUGGAACACUGUGUCUGUGUCAAUGAGUCCUGACCUGAGCAACGCUUUCUCUGGAGGACCUGAGUGAGUCAGAGCUCCUCGUGACACAGUGUUCCACCCAGAGGACAUCGCUGAUCCUCGCUCGGUAAAAGGGACUCGAACAAACUUCACUCAAACAUAGUUUAUCAGUUUACUAACAAAUCAAAACAAAAAUGCCAUAUGGCUAGAUACGUAUCCAAGGCUUAUAAUACAUAGAUCUGUAUGCAGAGUAAAUAAUAUAUCUGUGUUCACUAGGUCCAUAAUGUGUAUAUGUGUACAUAUGCAUAUGAUUUUAAUGUGUAAGGCAUAUAAGAUCAAGUGUAUAGUAUCGGUCUAUAAUAUAGAUGUGUAUAACAGGUCUAUAACACAGAUGUGUAUAGCAUAGGUCUAUAAUACAGAUGUGUAUUCUAGGUCUAUAAUACAGAUGUGUAUAAUAGGUCUAUAAUACAGAUGUGUAUAAUAGGUCUAUAAUACAGAUGUGUAUAAUAGGUCUAUAAUACAGAUGUGUAUUCUAGGUCUAUAAUACAGAUGUGUAUAAUAGGUCUAUAAUACAGAUGUGUAUUCUAGGUCUAUAAUAUAGAUGUGUAUAAUAGGUCUAUAAUACAGAUGUGUAUUCUAGGUCUAUAAUACAGAUGUGUAUUCUAGGUCUAUAAUACAGAUGUGUGUACACCCUGCGUGUCCCAGGUCUCACCAGAUUCCGGUGGGAGUCUCGGUAGGGGGGGACUUUGCAGCAUUGGGGGUCUUUACGAUAGAUCACAUACAGCAUGGCCACGAUGAGCACAAAGAGAACCAGAGAGGAGCCUGAGGAAAGGAGACAAGGGAGCAGGGGUCAUAAGGACCUAGGGUAGGGACUAUCGGUACUAACACCCACGCAUAUCAAUGAUCUGCUGACGGACACGCAGACGUUAACAGAAGCUUCAUAUAUGAAUGCAUCACUUUAGGCCUUCACUCCACCCAUUCACUCUCUGAAUACAGACUGAGAGGUUCAACCAAUCACACGCAGCGGGUCG